AUUGAACGCUGGCGGUAUGCUUAACACAUGCAAGUCGAACGGCAGCACAGACUGUAGCAAUACAGUUGGGUGGCGAGUGGCGGACGGGUGAGUAACGCGUGGGAAUCUGUCUUAAAGUGGGGGAUAACUCGAGGAAACUCGAGCUAAUACCGCAUAUCUAGCUUGCUAGAAAGGGGGCCUCUGUUUACAUGCUUUCGCUUUAAGGUGAGCCUGCGUCUGAUUAGCUAGUUGGUAGGGUAAAGGCCUACCAAGGCAAUGAUCAGUAGCUGUUCUGAGAGGAAGACCAGCCACACUGGGACUGAGACACGGCCCAGACUCCUACGGGAGGCAGCAGUGGGGAAUAUUGGACAAUGGGGGAAACCCUGAUCCAGCAAUACCGCGUGUGUGAAGAAGGCCUGCGGGUUGUAAAGCACUUUUAUUGGGGAGGAAAAGUUAAAAGCUAAUACCUUUUAACCGUGACGCUACCCAAAGAAAAAGCACCGGCUAACUCUGUGCCAGCCGCCGCCGUAA
rnacentral:rRNA from 1 species